rnacentral:rRNA from 1 species
GAUGAACGCUGGCGGCGUGCCUAAUACAUGCAAGUCGAGCGAACAGAUAAGGAGCUUGCUCCUUUGACGUUAGCGGCGGACGGGUGAGUAACACGUGGGUCACCUACCUAUCAGACUGGGAUCACUUCGGGAAACCGGCGCUAAUACCGGAUAACCUUUGGCACCGCAUGGUUCUAAAGUGAAAGAUGGUUUUGCUAUCACUUCUAGAUGGACCCGCGCCGUAUUAGCUAGUUGGUAAGGUAACGGCUUACCAAGGCGACGAUACGUAGCCGACCUGAGAGGGUGAUCGGCCGCACGGGAGCUGAGACAGGGUCCAGACUCCUACGGGAGGCAGCAGUAGGGAAUCUUCCGCAAUGGGCGAAAGCCUGACGGAGCAACGCCGCGUGAGUGAUGAAGGGGUUCGGCUCGUAAAACUCUGUUAUUAGGGAAGAACAAAUGUGUAAGUAACUGUGCACGUCUUGACGGUACCUAAUCAGAAAGCCACGGCUAACUACGUG